rnacentral:rRNA from 1 species
UGAGGAAUAUUGGUCAAUGGGCGCAAGCCUGAACCAGCCAUCCCGCGUGCAGGAAGACGGCCCUAUGGGUUGUAAACUGCUUUUCCAGGGGGAGAAUUUUUCUGUCGUGACAGGAAUUGACGGUACCCUUGUAAUAAGCAUCGGCUAACUCCGUGCCAGCAGCCGCGGUAAUACGGAGGAUGCGUGCGUUAUCCGGAUUUAUUGGGUUUAAAGUGUGCGUAUGCGGAUUGAUAAGUUAGUGGUGAAAACCUGCAGAUUAGCUGCAGAACUGCCGUUGAUACUGUCAGUCGUGAGCGUGGUCAAGGUAGGCGGAAAGUGUAAUGUAGCGGUGAAAUGCUUAGAUAUUACACAGAACACCGAUUGCGAAGG